rnacentral:lncRNA from 1 species
AUGCUCGAAAUUCUCCAAGUCAGGCUUCAACAGUAUGUGAACUGUGAACUUUCAGAUGUUCAAGCUGGUUUUAGAAAAGGCAGAGGAGCCAGAGAUCAAAUUGCCAAUGACCUCUGGAUCAUCGAAAAAGUAAGAGAGUUCCAGAGAAACAUCUAUAUCUGCUUGAUUUACUGUGCCAAAGCCUUUGACUUGGUGGAUCACAAUAAACUGUGGAAAAUUCUGAAAGAGAUGGGAAUACCAGACCACCUGACCUGCCCCUUGAGAAACCUAUAUGCAGGUCAGGAAGCAACAGUUAGAACUGGACAUGGAACAACAGACUGGUUCCAAAUAGGAAAAGGAGUACAUCAAGGCUGUAUAUUGUCACCCUGCUUAUUGGACUUCUAUGCAGAGUACAUCAUGAGAAACGCUGGGCUGGAAGAAGCACAAGCUGGAAUUAAGAUUGCCGGGAGAAGUAUCAAUAACCUCAGAUAUGCAGAUGACACCACCCUUAUGGCAGAAAGUGAAGAAGAACUAAAGAGCCUCUUGAUGAAAGUGAAAGAGGAGAGUGGAAAGGUUGGCUUAAAGCUCAACAUUCAGAAAACUAAGAUCAUGGCAUCUGGUCCCAUCACUUCAUGGCAAAUAGAUAGGGAAAUAGUGGAAAGAGUGUCAGACUUUUUUUUUUUGGGCUCCAAAAUCACUGCAGAUGGUGACUGCAGCCAUGAACUUAAAAGAUGCUUACUCCUUGGAAGGAAAGUUAUGACCAACCUAGACAGCAUAUUGAAAAGCAGAGACAUUACUUUGCCAACAAAGGUCCACCUAGACAAGGCAAUGGUUUUUCCAGUGGUCAUGCAUGGAUGUGAGAGUUGGACUGUGAAGAAAGCUGAGCCCCGAAGAAUUGAUGGUUUCGAAUUGUGGUGUUGGAGAAGAUUGUUGAGAGUCCCUUGGACUGCAAGGAGAUCCAACCAGUCCAUUCUGAAGAUCAGUCCUGGGUGUUCAUUGGAAGGAUCGAUGCUAAAGCUGAAACUCCAACACUUUGGCCACCUUAUGCGAAGAGUUGACUCAUUGGAAAAGACUUUGAUGCUAGGAGGGAUUAGGGGCAGGAGGAGAAGGGGAUGA